CCACAGCUAUGAAGCAGUGUGGCAAGGUCCUCAGAGAGCCCUGCGCUGGGGUCCGUCUGCCGGCCAGGAUUGGGGAAGGCUUUCCACAGGAAGCAAUGUCCCCUGGGCUCUGAGGGAUGAGCAGGAGUUUCACCUGGGGGGAGUGGGGAGGGGCCUUUCAGGCUGCAAACACAGUCAGGGUAGACAUGGAGGUGCAGGCCGUGUCCCGGGAGGCACAGGGGCCGAGUCCAGGCCGGCUGGCAGAAGAUCCUCAGGCCGGCCACUUCCCCUCGCAGGGCCCCCGUUUCCCUGUCUGCACAUGAGGGGGAAGACGUGGACAGUGCUGGGCAAAGGCUCAUGUCCCCUGCUGAAUUUCCAUGUCGUUUUGGAAACCAGGGUUUUUUCUGUCCACGAUGGUGGCUCUCAAGCCAGAGCUUGUGCUUUCCCAGGGAGAGCCGCCUGUCCCUGUCACGGUCCCCACUCCUGGCCCUGGUGGGGCAGGCAGGGGGCACAUGCGACAGAGACAGAAUCCUGCUUCCAAGACAAGCCACAUGGACCUGGUGAUGGGCAGACACAGCUGAGCACCUGCCCAGGACGCCCAGGCUCCAUGAGUCCAGGCAGGAACCCAGGGAGGACCAGGCAGCCCCAGAUGAAGUGUGGGGAGGGGCCGCAGCAGCCCUGCACAACAACAGGCUCCCGCCACCCAGCCCUGCAGAGGGCCUGCCCACGAUACCGCCCGGCGGUGACUGUCCUCGUGGCCCGAGGCUCUGCCGGGUCUCCCAGCUUCCCACAUCCUCCUCAGCCCCGUCCCAGUGCAGAGGACUGGCCCAGAGGGCUUGACCCCUGGGAAGAAGCCUGGGGAGCUGAGGCCUACGCACCCACAAAACUGCCAUCUCCCCUAUAGCCCUGAGUGACCAGCCUGGGGAGCGGCUGCAGGGCCACUGCCUUCAGCCAGGUUCACUGACCAAGAAACCAGGACACCUUGGGCAACCUCCCUCACCCUUUCGCAAAGCCCCUAUGCCCACCCUGAGACCCGCUCAGCUCCCCUGCCAGGAGCCCUCCAGUGUGUCCACGGCCCUGCCUCUGCGUGACCAGGCACCAGACGGAGGUGGCAGGAAGGAGCACCUAGUACCCCCUAGGGCUGGGGGACUAUGGGACAUGGAAGAGCCUCUGGCUGCAGAAAGGCCCAGGAGGAGGAGGAGGAGGAGGAAGGGGGAUGGCUGGGGAGGAAUGGCCGGAGCUCGGGCAAGCAGGUCCCAGGUCGAAGCUUUGCCAAGCAGGGCUGUCUCUGCCCGGAGCCGUGGUGUGUGGGCAUCGGUAGAGGAUUCUUGCCCUGGGCAGGAGUUGGUCGGAGGCAACAUCCGGCCCCGAAGUCGGCGUCACAGGUCCCUUGAGUCCCAACAUGCCUGUCUCCUAGAGUCCAGGAGCCGUGGCAGGUGGGCCUGCAGAACCUCACUGGUAGUGCAGCCUGGAGGGGCCGCACAGUGGUCCCUGGAUGACCCCGCCCCAGCACCUGGCUCAUGGAGCAGCCUGGACCACGCCCCUCCAGGCAGCCCACUGCCAUUCAGCUUGCAAUGCUUCUGGUCACCAUCCCCAGGCAGCCCGCUCCUCUUGCAAGGCCCAGGGCGAAGGGCCCCUUUCUCCAGGAAGCCCAUCCUGCUCCCCAGCCCAGCUUGGUCCAGGGGAGCCGCUCACCCCAGAAGACCGGAGCCACCAAGGCACAGUGCUGGAACCAAGGGUGGGCAGUUGUGCAGGGGCCAGGGGUAGGGAGAGAGCCCAUCAAGCACGGAGCUCUGAGCCUGUCACCUCUCCUGGACACUUCCAUGGCUUCGGGGACCACUCCCAACAGCCAAGAAGUGGAGACAGCCCAAAUUCGCAUCAACAGGAACAAUCAGCAGCUCGACAAAAGUGUUUUACAACCGCAGAAGCAGCAACUCUGACCCCACCCUGAAAACACCAGGCCGAGUGGGAGAAGCCGGCGCGGGGACUGGCGCUGGGCGGGCCACCUGCAGGCGGUCCCUGGAACAGGCAGAGGCAGAGGCAGACGGGGGGGUGCCAGGGCGGGUGGGUGGAGAGGCGCAGCUCCGGAACUGGGUUUGGAGAUGGCUGCACCUUCUUCACCGGGGACUCAGCGCCACCGACAGGUCCACUUUAAAACGCUCAACUUGGUGCCUCGUGGAUUUCAUCCCAAUAAAAAAAGGUAUCGUGAAGCAUCCUGACCCGAAAACAAGGAUCGCAGCACCCCACAGGGGGGCGACGAUCAAGGAAAGUGCUGCUUGUGGCCAGGAAGACGCUGGAGCCCAUCCCAGGCUUAGCCCUCAGUGAGUGGCCAAGUGUGAGAGGGAUGGGAAUCGUGGCUAAAAAUGCUCUGAAAAUGACCUGCAGGCCCCACUCACCCGACCCUUCCAGGGAGACCUCCCAUGUGCGAGAGACUGACGGCAGCUCCACCCCGCGCUGCACAGCGCCCCCAGCAUGCCUCUUGGGCUGAAGGUGCCUUGGAGACCCGCCCUGGGCAGGGCCUGGGUGUGGGGCGUCACGGGUACUGUGCCAGCCUGCAUGCAUGCCUGCCAGCUCAGUGGGCUGUGCCUGUGGGCAGAAGCCAGUGACGGGUUCCUGUGACUGUCACUGGAUCCUGGAAUUGGCCUGCCCCGCCCUGCCCCAGUCGCAGUUGGCAGGGCUCCGGUCAGCAUGGGCCUGGUCCUUGACAGUGCUGCUUUUCUCCGACCGCUGUAACAAGAGACCACCAACACUGUGACCCCUCUCCCAGUCCUGGCGGUCAGAAUUCAAGGUCCAGCUGCCAGCAGGACUGCUUCCUUCUGGAAGCUCCAGGGAAACUCUGUCUCCUGACCUCCUCAGCUGGGCCAGGAAUGUGGGGACUCGGCCUUGACUCCCUCUGCUGCCCCCAGUGUCCCUGCAAGGAAGGGCCACGUCCAGCAGCUCUCUUCUCUCCCCUUGGCCUGCUGGCCAUGUAUCUCCCCAGGUGAGCCAGGAGGGCAGGAUGGGCCUGGGAUGCACUGUGCGGAUGCCGUGCAGGGACCGGGGGCCACAGGCCAGGUGGAGGGCAGCUCCAGCCACCUGGUGGUCCCUGAUUACCCCCUUCCAUUCUGGGCAGGACUAGUUCUACCCUGGAGCCUCCCCAGCCCAUCCCUGGAGCCCCCAACAGCUCAGGGCUCUCCUCCCCACCAGGGCCGCCACCUCCCCGCCAAGCCCAGCUUGCACACUGAGCCCACUUGGAGACCCUCCCUGCUGCUCUGCCUGUUCCCCUGCAGGCCACCCUCUGUCCCUUCUGCCCAUACUACACUUCUUGGCCCCUGCUGGUCACUGACCAACCCUCUGCAAAACCCCCAGAACCGCACUUGCCCCUCAGCUGCCCCUGUCAGAUGGCGCUCCCCAGGAUGUCUUCACUGAGGGUACCCUCUCGGUCCCAGUGCUGGGGGCCCAGCACCUAGCAGACCUGGAAUUGUCAACCAGGUAUCUUCAAAGGCAUGUCCCUGGCACCAGCCCCCUGCCCCCACCCUGGCACCCUUGGCACAGCCUUGGCAACCUUCCUUGUCCUCCAAGGCCUCAACCUCAACAGCCACUCAAAUAAAUUAAUGUUCCCAUCUCUGCUGACUCAUGGAAGAGAACAUCGGGGGCUCCUGCCAAUGACCGUCACCCCCAGCCGGCCAGGGAACAGGCCUGAGUCCUUGGGGACCUUGCCCUGAGCCUGAGAUACUGCCAAUUGUC
rnacentral:lncRNA from 1 species